rnacentral:misc_RNA from 1 species
GAUGGAAGAACGUAGCGAAAUGCGAUACUUGGUGUGAAUUGCAGAAUCCCGUGAACCAUCGAGUCUUUGAACGCAAGUUGCGCCUCAAGCCAUUAGGUUGAGGGCACGUCUGCCUGUGCGUCACAUAUCGUUGCCUGAUGCCAGUUUCCUCGUGAUGGGUGACUGUGCAGGGCGAAUGAUGGCUUCCCGUGAGCAUUGUUGCCUCAUGGUUGGUUGAAAAUUGAGUCCUUGGUAGGGAGCGCCGUGAUAGAUGGUGGUUGAGUGACGAACGAGACCCAAUCAUGUGAGAACCCUACCGAAUUUGGCCUUCAUGAACCACAUGCGUCUUUGGAACGCUCAUGACGAGACCUCAGGUCAGGCGGGGCUACCCGCUGAGUUUAAGCAUAUCAAUAAGCGGAGGA